CCUAACUGAUGCGCCCAGAAAACAACGGACAGGAGACUGGAGGAGUGCACUGUGAAUACCAAGCUGGAGUUAUUGUAUGUCGGCGGCUCAAUUUACAAGUUUUUGUGCGUCGGAGGCCUGAAUAUAAUUCAUGAUGCAGUUCAUGCUGCUGUUCAGCCGACAGGGCAAGUUGAGACUGCAGAAGUGGUACGUGCCGCUGUCAGACAAAGAGAAGAAGAAGAUCACCCGGGAGCUGGUGCAGACCGUGCUGGCACGCAAACCCAAGAUGUGCAGCUUCCUGGAGUGGCGGGACCUCAAGAUUGUCUACAAAAGAUACGCUAGUUUGUAUUUCUGCUGUGCCAUAGAGGACCAAGACAACGAACUCAUCACCUUGGAGAUCAUCCACCGAUACGUGGAGCUGUUGGAUAAGUACUUUGGCAGCGUCUGCGAAUUGGACAUCAUCUUCAACUUUGAGAAGGCCUACUUCAUCCUGGAUGAGUUCCUGCUGGGUGGCGAGGCACAGGAGACCUCCAAGAAGAACGUGCUGAAGGCCAUCGAGCAGGCCGACCUGCUGCAGGAGCCCCGUCACGAGUACUUUAACGUGCCUGUGUACUAAACGGCCGACGUCGCUCCCACCACCCGUCCUGCAUGCUGAGCCCCCCCACCCCCGGUGUCCGGCUGCUCCUCCUCCGCCUGCUGUUCUGGGUUCCGGGUGUACCCCGUGGUUCCGUCACUCCAUCCAUCCUGCUGUCCACCUCAUCUCACACGUUCCACCCAUCACCACACCUCCAUCAGACACUCUCCUGUGACCCACCCCCCGUUUUUCAAGUGGGGUGCCCGCCAUCUUAUUAUCAUAUUUAUUUUUUUGUCUUUGUCCCAGAGCAGCAUACUUGCUCACUUCUGAGACAUUAUGGGCUGGCUCCAGGCUGCUGGGGACGAUCCCUGGCCUCAUGAGCACUGAACCGCACGCUGAACUGACACUGAGCUACGGCUUUGGUUGUGAGGCUGGUUGCUAAGACUGACACCAGUUUGUAUCUGUUUCUCCGGAUGGUCUGGUGGCUUUUUAUGCAUGAUGAUACCGUUACCAAAAGACAUCCUUCUGUUUCCAAACCCCUGGUGUGGUUUUCCUGAAAUCAUCAUUUGGGAAUAGGAAAUUGCCCUGUUGUGAGUUCUACAGUGAUGGGUUUCCUUCGUCUGGAGAAUAUUUACAGAAAAAUAAACUGCCCCAGUGUCUCACCGGUACCCAGUAUAGAUGUUUAAAGAAUUUAAAUCGACGUUGUGAAAUGUGAUUAGAAAUGUAUGCCCUUUUCCCCAUGAUUCAGCAUUUUCCAGCAUUUUAAUGACUUGCAUACAGUAAUUUUAGUUUAGCGGUCUCUAAAGACUGGGUCUGGAAGGUAAGAUUAAUCGCUUCUUGUACAAAACAAGUAUAAAUGCUCCUUCUUCGGAGAGGAAGAGAUCUUAGAAAGCUGCUUGCUGCUGGACCAUCUGCCUGCAGGUAAAUCAACCUUAAGGUACUUUAAAGCCAGUGUAUCGUUGCUAAUAAAUCGGCAGAUACGGUCUGUCGUGACUCAUCUACACUUUCCUCACAGUCACACUAACGUGGAAAUGUGGCGUCUGACCCCCGGUUGCCGUGACGGCAGACAAUGAGGCCAUUGAGCUGGAACUGCGCCCAGCCAGCUUCAGGCCCAGCGUGUAUGAAUACGGCCCCUUUUGGGGCUCGCAUUUAACCUGCGGUACUGCAGCCCAGCACCCACCUUUCAGAAGGCGCGAUUGAAUUGUCAUUUGUGUCUCCAUCCUGCCUCGCGGCUGCGGUGGAGCGGAAGUAAUGUGAGGUGGCGGAAAAUGUCACCUAAAGUAAUAAUGGAAUCAGUGAUGAGCAUUCAGACAAACGCCGAGGUCUGAGACGCAAACGUACAGUAUGGCAGGGCGGGAGCCAGGAGAAGAGUCGCUAAAUGUCUUAUCCCAGCUUUCACGCUCCUAUGCAGUAUUUUACAUAUAACCACAGUUAUAGUGUUACAUUGAUUUAUGUAAUUAAAUAUAAUGAAAGAAAAAAGGGGAUGUUUUGUGGUCUUUGUCUCUGACUCUGCAUUCCGAGGGGAAGUGAAUUAUUCCUUCAUUCUAAUAGUGCCGUGAUGAGCUGUCAUUGUGCGACUGCAAAUUUUUCAGCAAAAAAAUAUAAAUGCCCUGGGUCUUGGUGUGUCCUGUUAAGCAGUCGUUGAUGUGUUCUACUGUCCAAUUGUGUUUAUAUCCCUCAUAGCUACAGUCCCAUGCCUCUGUUCUGAUGAAUAUGAACCAUAUCAGUGUCCACUUUUCACCUUCUAAAAGGGAUGCGCUGAUGGCGACUGUGAUGCCAACAGCUGUUUAUACAGGAAACUUUCAGUUCCAUGCUUAUUUUGGGAUUCCACUCCUGGAUGGCGUGGUAUGAGGAACCAAUUAAUUAAAUCUAAUUCUAUUUUAAUUAUCCAUAGUGGAAGACUGGCUGUUAACGUAAUAAUUCUAGAAUACUUAAAUCCUGGAAUUAUGAAGGCAGAGAUUGAGUUGGUAAGAUUAGCUCUGGGAUUUUGCAGCUGCGGACUAUUAACAGACUGGAUUUAAAUGCUAGGCUUUAAUAAAUGAAGAAAUGAAAUUCCCCCCCGGGCAGCAGGGUCAGAGUUCUCUUUGAGGCAGCAUUCCUGUCGCAGUCAGAGCCUCCUGUGAGUGCUUCAGGGAAACGUGCCAGUUCUCUGUCUGCUGUAUAACAGGAGUCUGUGCAGAGGGGGCAGCAGCACAUUAAUUAUGGAUGGAUACCAGACUGAACUCUGCCUUAGAAAGCUUAUCAAGUGCUUUGAAGCAAAAUGGAAUGUGGAGUAAUUGGGAGCCAAGACCCUUGCGCAGUGACCAAAUGCUGGGCUCCUCUCUGACUCUUCUUCUCUCUGUUUUAUGCCAAACCUUUGUUAGGACGCCAAAGAGGCAGAGACCCCCCGCAGCGUUCUGGAGGAGAUCGGACUGACAUAAACCCGGCCCAUCCCCCGGUGGCGGCACCUACGGUGCCCCUCUGCCAGCUCUUUCUUCGUUGUGCUAAACGAUGUAGCGCUAAGUGUGUCCAUGUGCAUUUCAGUGUUGAAGCACGUCCCCUUUCGUCCUACAUGCCUUUUUGUUUAUUUUUAAACCUGGUUAAUCUGUGCUUGAUGUACCCGGCGAAGCACUGUACACACUCGAUAUCGAAAGGGAUUGUUAGUUUACAAUCAUCGGUCUUUUCUUACAGAAAUUCUCCUACUGCCUUAAGAUACUUCUACAGUAUUCCUCAUUGUGUUAGAUGUCUUCAUAAAAGGCCACGAUUACACUUUAAUGUAAUUCAGAACAGUGAGGUUCUUUUCUAUGUAUAUGUGUCUGUAUAUAUACACACAUAUGAUAUGUAUGUAUGUAUGUUACAGCUAAAAACACUGUUUCCCUUUCAAAAAAUAAAGGAAAUAGAUUCAAGGUUGUUCUGACUGUGGACAGAAGAACUACAGGACUGAGCCCUUUCUUAUACAGGCAGACAGACAGAGGAUAACGGCAAAGAUAAACACCUAUAUCAGUAAUGUAGGAGAGCGAAGUCGUUCUCAAGAACGUCCUCUUAGUGUCUGCAACCAAAGAAACACUUAGUAUUACGGGAGCAAAGUUGCAUUUCGGAUAGAACUGUGCAUUGUGUGAUUUACAAAAGAAAUCUAUUUGUUUAAACCAAAGAUUUGUUUUUUUUUCUUUCUUUUUCUGUCUUUAUAUUGCCCUAAGCAAUUACACAGCUCAGUCCAGAACAUCAUCUAAGUUGACGGGAAGGCUUGAAAGCACAAAGCAGUAUUUGAAUUCAUUGCCUGGUGUGUCCUGUAUGCUAAUCACUGUGUAUUACUGAGGUUCCGCACUGUUCGUUCGCAAGAUGUAACAGCGGUUAGAAUAUGCAGUUAAUAUGGUCCUAGAUCUCAGCUUAACCUUGCUUGUAUUUCCUUUAUACCACAGAAGGGUCUUCUUUAGUUAUGUCUCCUGUUAGCUGGCCCACUUUCAUCCACCGUGUCUUACAGAUGUUCUCCAUAGUAGCUCUAUCAUGAACACAUGUCUUACCGUGGGACGGUGUUGUAUGUCAUCUCAGUGAAACAAUGCUGCAGUGUUUGGUGUUACAAUGGAAAUAAAAUUUGUUUACACUCUGUCAAAA